rnacentral:rRNA from 1 species
CGCCUGGGGAGUACGGUCGCCAAGAUUAAAACUCAAAGGAAUUGACGGGGACCCGCACAAGCGGUGGAUGAUGUGGAUUAAUUCGAUGCAACGCGAAAAACCUUACNUACCCUUGACAUGGUCGGAACCCUGCUGAGAGGUGGGGGUGCUCGAAAGAGAACCGAUACACAGGUGCUGCAUGNCUGUCGUCAGCUCGUGUCGUGAGAUGUUGGGUUAAGUCCCGCAACGAGCGCAACCCUNGUCCUUAGUUGCUACGCAAGGGCACUCUAAGGAGACUNGCCGGUGACAAACCGGAGGAAGGUGGGGAUGACGUCAAGUCCUCAUGGCCCUUAUGGGUAGGGCUUCACACGUCAUACAAUGGUCGGUANCAGAGGGCUGCCAACUCCGCCGCACGCGGGGAGCUAAUCUCAGAAAACCGAUCGUAGUCCGGAUUUGCAGUCUGCAAACUCGAGCUGCAUGAAGUCUGGAACUCGCUAGUAAGUCGCGGGAUCAGCAU